rfam:Triticum aestivum genome assembly, contig: Triticum_aestivum_CS42_TGACv1_scaffold_147306_2BS
CUAAUACUCCCUCCGUUAUAAAAUUCUUGUCUUAAAUUUAUUAGACACGGAUGUAUCGAACACUAAAAUGUGAAUAAAUACAUCCGCAUGUAGACAAAUCUAAGACAAGAAUUUUGGGACGAGUGAGUACAAA